UAGUUGUUAAUUAAGUACAAGUUGUAUUGAGACGCUUGGUGAAUAUCGUGUUUAAUUCAUUUUAAAUGGAUCACAUCAUAUAAUUCAUAGUAUAAUAUACUUAUAGUACCGAAAGUCUAUAAACAUUUCUAAUAUUGAAAUUGCAAAAUAAGUUGUAUAUGAUCACUGAUGUCUUCGAUUACGAAUGUUUUUUGUAUAAAAUUUAAAGAAAUCUUGAACAAGAUGUAAGGAUAAGCUGACAGAGGUAUUGUUUCUACUAACGAGGUAAAAUUGGUAACUACGAUGUCUGUAUUUGGUGACAAAACUAUAUCAUAAUCGUAUUAAUUCAUUCAUGAUCUCAAUGUACCAUGCAUUUUGUUUCAUUUAAAAUAGAAUGGCAAUGAUAUCAUGUUAAAGGAUUACAUCAGCAUGCGCUGGCUUUCAUGGAUGUUGGUGUGGGUGCUAGUAAUACACGUUUCCUCCGGUUGUUUCGGAUGCUGUCAAGAAGAUGGAUGAUGUUAUAUAACAUUUCGGGCUGGCAGCUUAUUUUUCAUGCCGUCAAGGGUAACAGACAGGCUGUUCACACAGCGUGGCAUAGACAUUCCCCGCCAAGAUGCACACCAAAUGAAAGGUUUCAAUAUUGAUAAUUGGGAAGAUAAUGGCAAACAUCUUCGGAAUCCUCUCAUUGAUCGAUGACAAUCUCUCAGCAUACUGAAGAUCCUCAUAACGAUUCAAGCUACCAAGAAAGCAUGUCACUAGGUCAACUGCCGCAUGAUCUGGAUUUGCACUCUGCUUUUGACUGCUCCAUUAACCUGACCAAGUUAAGGAGCUCACGGCAGAUAUAACCCGUCGACAGAGGACUCUUACCCUUCCUAGAUUUUGUAUCCCAGCAAAGAUCCACGCCCUGUCAUAACGUUCCCGCAUACAGUUGUCAAAAGACGGUAACAAUUAGUCAUGUAUAUAUUAUGCAGAGGACGAAGUUAUGUCCUAAACUGAUCCUGAUGUGGCUGAUGUGAUGAACGUUUAUAUCCAAAGAGCAUGAUGCUGCCUUUUUGUCAGAAACGAAUGAUUUGCUUGUAGAUAAUUAUAUACAUAAUAAAGUGAACAAUC